rnacentral:rRNA from 1 species
AUUCCAGACUCCUACGGGAGGCAGCAGUCGAGAAUCAUUCACAAUGGGGGAAACCCUGAUGGUGCGACGCCGCGUGAGUGAAGAAGUCAUUCGUGAUGUAAAGCUCUAUCAGCAGGGAAGAAAAUGACGGUACCUGACUAAGAAGCCCCGGCUAACUCCGUGCCAGCAGCCGCGGUAAUACGGAGGAUGCGAGCGUUAUCCGGAUUUAUUGGGUUUAAAGGGUGCGCAGGCGGCGAGUUAAGUCAGCGGUAAAAUUGCGGGGCUCACCCCCGACGAGCCGUUGAAACUGGCUUGCUAGAGUGGGCGAGAAGUAUGCGGAAUGCGUGGUGUAGCGGUGAAAUGCAUAGAUAUCACGCAGAACUCCGAUUGCGAAGGCAGCAUACCGGCGCUCAACUGACGCUCAUGCACGAAAGCGUGGGUAUCGAACAGGAUUAGAUACCCCUGUAUC